GGUAUUUGAGGUAGAUAUGUACAUGAAGGCAGGGUAAAGUGACUAGACAUCAGGAUAGAUAAUAAUAAGGUAUUUGAGGUAGAUAUGUACAUGAAGGCAGGGUAAAGUGACUAGACAUCAGGAUAGAUAAUAAUAAGGUAUUUGAGGUAGAUAUGUACAUGAAGGCAGGGUAAAGUGACUAGACAUCAGGAUAGAUAAUAAUAAGGUAUUUGAGGUAGAUAUGUACAUGAAGGCAGGGUAAAGUGACUAGGCAUCAGGAUAGAUAAUAAUAAGGUAUUUGAGGUAGAUAUGUACAUGAAGGCAGGGUAAAGUGACUAGACAUCAGGAUAGAUAAUAAUAAGGUAGUUGAGGUAGAUAUGUACAUGAAGGCAGGGUAAAGUGACUAGGCAUCAGGAUAGAUAAUAAUAAGGUAUUUGAGGUAGAUAUGUAGAUGAAGGCAGGGUAAAGUGACUAGUCAUCAGGAUAGAUAAUAAUAAGGUAUUUGAGGUAGAUAUGAACAUGAAGGCAGGGUAAAGUGA